ensembl:lncRNA
UCUAUCUAUAGGUAUGGCUAUAGGUCUAUCUAUAGAUCUGGCUAUAGGUCUAUCUAUAGGUCUGGCUGUAGGUCUAUCUAUAGGUAUGACUAUGGGUAUAUCUAUAAAUCUGGCUAUAGGUCUAUAUAUAGGUAUAUCUAUAGGUAUGGCUAUAGGUCUAUCUAUAGGUGUGGCUAUAGAUCUAUCUAUAGGUCUGGCUAUAGGUCUAUCUAUAGGUCUGGCUAUAGGUCUAUAUAUAGGUAUAUCUAUAGGUCUGGCUAUAGGUCUAUAUAUAGGUAUAUCUAUAGGUCUGGCUAUAGGUCUAUCUAUAGGUAUAUCUAUAGGUCUGGCUAUAGGUCUAUCUAUAGGUAUAUCUAUAGGUCUGGCUAUAGGUCUAUCUAUAGGUUUAUAUAUAGGUAUAUCUAUAGGUGUGGCUAUAGGUCUAUCUAUAGGUUUAUAUAUAGGUCUAUCUAUAGGUUUAUAUAUAGGUCUAUCUAUAGGUUUAUAUAUAGGUAUAUCUAUAGGUGUGGCUAUAGGUCUAUCUAUAGGUUUAUAUAUAGGUAUAUCUAUAGGUUUAUAUAUAGGUAUAUCUAUAGGUCUGGCUAUAGGUCUAUCUAUAGGUUUAUAUAUAGGUAUAUCUAUAGGUGUGGCUAUAGGUCUAUCUAUAGGUAUAUCUAUAGGUAUAUCUAUAGGUCUGGCUAUAGGUCUGGCUAUAGGUCUAUCUAUAGGUUUAUAUAUAGGUAUAUCUAUAGGUCUAUCUAUAGGUUUAUAUAUAGGUAUAUCUAUAGGUGUGGCUAUAGGUCUAUCUAUAGGUAUAUCUAUAGGUUUAUAUAUAGGUAUAUCUAUAGGUGUGACUAUAGGUCUAUCUAUAGGUUUAUAUAUAGGUAUAUCUAUAGGUGUGGAUAUAGGUCUAUCUAUAGGUAUGGCUGUAAGUCUAUCUAUAGGUAUAUCUAUAGGUGUUUUAGUGACUUUAACCUGAGUGGUCAGUAUCCUAGGCAACCAUGAAGUUUGUCCGGAUUGCCUUUAGAUACGGCUCUUUACGGCUCUGGUACAGCCUCCUAGGUC